rnacentral:rRNA from 1 species
ACGAAGCUGGAAUCGCUAGUAAUCGCGAAUCAGAAUGUCGCGGUGAAUACGUUCCCGGGUCUUGUACACACCGCCCGUCACACCAUGGGAGUCGGUAACGCCCGAAGUCAGUGACUCAACCGAAAGGAGAGAGCUGCCGAAGGCGGGACUGGUAACUGGGGUGAAGUCGUAACAAGGUAAC